rnacentral:misc_RNA from 1 species
AAAAAAAUACCAGGAAUGGGAGGAGCUGAAUCCACAGUUCAUUCGAAUUUUGGUCAUUCCCAGAUGAAGGGCAGUGAAAGUAUUCAGUUUGGUGCUAUGAUGGAGAACUUAAAAUCUCCAGAGUCACAGUAUGAGGGUGGGAAGUUAGAAAACAGGAACAUUGGCCUGCCUCCUAUUGAUAUAUCUCUUGUAGAUUUUGACAUCAAUACCUUGCAGAUCAUAAAAAAUGAAGAUCUCGAAGAGCUGAGAGAACUAGGUUCUGGUACUUUUGGAACUGUAUAUCAUGGAAAAUGGAGGGGAUCAGACGUUGCCAUUAAGAGGCUAAAGAAGAUUUGUUUCACUGGUCGAUCAUCAGAGCAAGAGAGAUUGACUAUAGAGUUUUGGCGGGAAGCUGAAAUUCUUUCAAAGCUUCACCAUCCAAAUGUAGUAGCAUUUUAUGGUGUGGUGCAAGAUGG